UACAGAGGGGGCAAGCGUUGUUCGGAAUUACUGGGCGUAAAGGGCGCGUAGGUGGCCUUCUAAGUCGAACGUGAAAUCCCUGGGCUCAACCCAGGAACUGCGUCCGAUACUGGAAGGCUUGAAUCCGGGAGAGGGAUGCGGAAUUCCAGGUGUAGCGGUGAAAUGCGUAGAUAUCUGGAGGAACACCGGUGGCGAAGGCGGCAUCCUGGACCGGUAUUGACACUGAGGCGCGAAAGCUAGGGGAGCAAACGGG
rnacentral:rRNA from 1 species